UAUUUGGCAUAGCACAACAAAUUUCAAACAGAAUUAUUUGGACUGCCGCUCCAUAAACAUCUACAUGUACGUAUGUGUUUGUGUGAUACUUUUCGUUUGUCCGUAAGCAUGUUUUAGUCUUUGGUGUAGUUAAACAUUUGUGAGAUCGUAUUUGUGUGAAACCGGCAGAGAUGUUUUAACGCUCGAAUCAAUACUCGCACAAUUCGAUAGCAAAUAUGCCGUAUCUAGUUAUGUGUAGUGGUACCUCGACGGCCAAGAUGUGAUCUCCUUGUUUCGACUCCUGCUGCAGGCAGUGUUGCAGUCCGUGUUCCAGUUCGUGCUGCAGCUUGUGUUGCAGCCCCUGCAGCAGUUCCAUCUAUAUGUGUUCAUGCAGUCCGUGUUGCAACGCUUGCUGCAGCCCUUGCUGUACCACGUGCUGCUCACAAUGCUGCGGUUGGCCAUGAUAAUGCAGGAGGCUGGGGGAGUCUUCACACAUUGCCACGAAGAUACACUUAUACACAAUCAUAUGUGUAGAUGCCCGCGUACCACUUGGACUUGGACUUGAACAAUGCUAAAUGAAUAUAUAUGGACAUAUAACUAAAAAUUCUC